rnacentral:rRNA from 1 species
AACGGACGCUGGCGGCGUGCCUAACACAUGCAAGUCGUGCGAGAAAGUUCCUUCGGGAGCGAGUAAAGCGGCGCACGGGUGAGUAACACGUAGGUAACCUGCCCCCCAGUCUGGAACAACUAGAGGAAACUCUAGCUAAUGCCGGAUGAGACCACGAUCCCUUCGGGGGUUGCGGCCAAAGAUGGCCUCUACUUGUAAGCUAUCGCUGAGGGAUGGGGCCUGCGGGCCAUUAGCUUGUUGGUGAGGUAACGGCUCACCAAGGCUGUGAUGGCUAGCUGGUCUGAGAGGAUGACCAGCCACACUGGGACUGAGACACGGCCCAGACUCCUACGGGAGCAGCAGUGGGAAUAUUGCGCAAUGGGCGAAAGCCUGACGC